rnacentral:rRNA from 1 species
CCUACGGGAGGCAGCAGUAAGGAAUAUUGGUCAAUGGACGAAAGUCUGAACCAGCCAUGCCGCGUGAAGGAUGACGGCCCUCUGGGUUGUAAACUUCUUUUAUAGGGGACGAAAAAAGGGUAUUCUUACUCACUUGACGGUACCCUAGGAAUAAGCACCGGCUAACUCCGUGCCAGCAGCCGCGGUAAUACGGAGGGUGCAAGCGUUAUCCGGAUUCACUGGGUUUAAAGGGUGCGUAGGUGGGUCUAUAAGUCAGUGGUGAAAUCUCCGAGCUUAACUCGGAAACUGCCAUUGAUACUAUAGGCCUUGAAUUAUCUGGAGGUAAGCGGAAUAUGUCAUGUAGCGGUGAAAUGCUUAGAUAUGACAUAGAACACCAAUUGCGAAGGCAGCUUACUACGGAUAUAUUGACACUGAGGCACGAAAGCGUGGGGAUCAAACAGGAUUAGAUACCCUGUAGUCCACGCCCUAAACUAUGGAUACUCGACAUCAGCGAUACACUGUUGUGUCGUGAGCGAAGACGAUUAAGUAGUACCGUACCGUACGGAAGGUACGGACCGAACCGUAACGGUUAGUUAAACGUUAAAGGUAAAGUUAGUUACGGUCGUUGAGACGUCGACGACGGACGACGACGAGGGAGGAGG